UACGGAGGAUGCGAGCGUUAUCCGGAUUUAUUGGGUUUAAAGGGUGCGUAGGCUGUGCUGCAAGUCGGUGGUGAAAUAUCCGGGCUCAACCGGGAGGCUGCCACCGAUACUGCAGUGCUGGAAUACUGUUGCCGCGGGAGGAAUGAGUAGUGUAGCGGUGAAAUGCAUAGAUAUUACUCAGAACACCGAUUGCGAAGGCAUCUCGCGAAGCAGUUAUUGACGCUGAGGCACGAAAGCGUGGGGAUCAAAC
rnacentral:rRNA from 1 species